AGUCACUUAAAGGCCAUAGAUAUAUGAUGUGUAUGUGUAAGCAUUAGUGUGUGCAUGUAAAUGUGUGUGGGUGUUGGUAGCUUGCAGAGAGCUUUAUAAAGGGAGAUGUAAGGUACCAGGAUACAGCGGUGCUCCAAAAAUCAGACGACAGAAAUAAAAACACAAAUGAAUCUGAUUCAUGAAGCUCCACAUAAAACAGACUGUCAGUCUGAGCCACAACCGCUUUGUGGUUCAUGGUUUGAUUGCCGGCUGCUCCAGUUUGCAUACCAGAGUAUCUUUUUACAAGAUACUGGAGGACAUCAAGUAGCUCUGCUGUGUUCAUCAGGGUGUGAAGGAGUGGGUGUGAGAAUGAAUAGGUGAAACGAUCCAACAAGAACUGUGAGUACUUAAAUAACCCAAAUGGCUGUGACACAGGCUUUUAUAUAUAGAAGGAGAAAAAUACAGAGAGGAAGCGGGCGUGCUUUAUUUGCUGUCACUGAUAACAGAUGAGAAAGGGCAGAUUACUGAGAGGAACAAACAAGAAAAUGUUUCUGCUUCGUCUGUUCUUUCUGAUCUCAGUGCUGAGCUGCACAGCAAACCAAGCUCGUCUGACUGUGAGUCCCAGCAGCUCUCAGCUCUAU